rnacentral:rRNA from 1 species
AGCAUAUUACUAAGGGGAGGAAAAGAAACUAACAAGGAUUCCCCCAGUAACGGCGAGUGAAGCGGGAAGAGCUCAAAUUUAAAAUCCAGUAGUCUAACAGCCACUGGAGUUGUAAUCUAGAGAGGCUCUCUCAGUGCCAGCCUGGUUAUAAGUCCCUUGAAACGGGGCAUCAAAGAGGGUGAGAAUCCCGUAUUUGAGCCGGAGCUAAGUACGUACGAGGAGCUUUCUAAGAGUCGCGUUGCUUGGGAGUGCAGCGCUAAAUGGGUGGUAAAGUUCAUCUAAAGCUAAAUACUGGCGAGAGACCGAUAGCGAACAAGUACCGUGAGGGAAAGAUGAAAAGAACUUUGAAAAGAGAGUUAAAAAGUACUUGAAAUUGUUAACAGGGAAGGGGAGUCAACCAGUCAUUCCUAAGCUUCAUUCGCUCUUCCUUCGGGGGGGGUUACUUGAGGCUAAGGAGAGUCGGCAUCAUCUAGUUUCUUCGGAGAAACUGUGUAAGUUGGUGCCCAUCUUCGGUUGGGUUUAGCUUAUGCAGCCUACGUUGGAGCUGGAUGAGGAUUCGAAAACCCGCCGCCUUCGGGUGUCGGUACUCUGGAGCCUGUCUGCCCUAGCGCGUGAGAGAACAAAGUUCUGUCUGUGCAAAAGGUGAAUACUGCUUUAGAUGUACUAGGUGCUGGGUUCGCGAUGCAGACGAAAUGGUUGUCUUCCACCCGUCU